rnacentral:rRNA from 1 species
GUGCCAGCAGCCGCGGUAAUACGGAGGGGGCUAGCGUUGUUCGGAAUUACUGGGCGUAAAGCGCGCGUAGGCGGCUUUGUAAGUUAGAGGUGAAAGCCCAGAGCUCAACUCUGGAAUUGCCUUUAAGACUGCAUCGCUAGAAUCGUGGAGAGGUGAGUGGAAUUCCGAGUGUAGAGGUGAAAUUCGUAGAUAUUCGGAAGAACACCAGUGGCGAAGGCGACUCACUGGACACGUAUUGACGCUGAGGUGCGAAAGCGUGGGGAGCAAACAGGAUUAG